AUGCACUGCCCUCAGCUCUCUUUACCACUUUCUUCUUGAAAGAAGUUGUGAGUUGUUGGGAUAGUGAUAAAUAACGAGGCCAUUAUACAACUUGUUUCAUAAGCAACGGUUGCAAAAUGCAAUAAAAGGAAUUGCACAAAUUGGCAUUGGUAGAUUAGUUUACUAUCUCAUGUUUAAAGUUUGCUCGUUGUGAACUCGAUUGAGCUAUUUGUCUUAUGAAGGUCUAUUGUAUGAUUUAGUGGAAAAGUGAUGUGGGUUAUGUCCUAGCUAUGGUAUUACGGACGACGUUAGUAUUAUUCGUGAGCCGGCUGUUGGUAAAUGGUUUUUGAUGCUACUUCAAUGUUUUUGGUAAAUGUGGUUAAAUAUUAACGGCAGUGUCCACCUGGAUCUAUUGGUUUAUUGUAAUUUUGUCAAUGCAGGCAAAAUUGAUUUGACCAUGAACAUUAUUGAGCGUAAAAGUGGACGAAUUUAUGGAGGUGGUGGAAUAUCAAGUAGAUUACAAGAACGGAUUUCUAAAGAUGCAAUGGGGGAUAAGCUUAAGAGAAUUGGAACGCCAAAAAGAAAAUCCGAAGAAAAAGAACAAAAAGAGAAAGAAAAACAAAAAAAGAACAAAAAGAAAAAAAAAAGAAAAAGAGAUCAGUAUUCGGCAAAAAAAAAAAAAAGAGAUAGAAAAGCAAUCCCCACCGAGUUUUGAUAACGUCAGUGGUGGUGGGAAAUGUCGAGCUUUCUCCAUUGCUGGAAUCCCCUUUCGCAUUGGAGUAUCUCCCGAAUUUGAGUUUCUUGAUCCGAUUGCAUUUGUGGAGAUUAUUAAAUUACAAGUUUGAGAAGAAGGGGUGAAUGAUAUAUCCAUACAUAUCCUUGAUAAGACUGGUGAGCCAACUGUGGGGAAAUAAAGCCAGCAACAUUAGUCUUGCAACUUACCACCAAGAAAGGGCAGGUAUUUGGUACAUUUGAUCUUUGAUGUCUUAUGGAAUAUUUCAUUCUGUUGUAUGCAUUGGGUAACUAGCUCCAUAGAACUUUUUAUGUUGCUUUCUUUCCUUGUAGUUUAUUUUUUCUAAAAUACGAGACCAACUUCCCAUGCACUGCCCUCAGCUCUCUUUACCACUUUCUUCUUGAAAGAAGUUGUGAGUUGUUGGGAUAGUGAUAAAUAACGAGGCCAUUAUACAACUUGUUUCAUAAGCAACGGUUGCAAAAUGCAAGAAA